rnacentral:rRNA from 1 species
CCUACGGGGGGCAGCAGUGAGGAAUAUUGGUCAAUGGGCGCAAGCCUGAACCAGCCAAGCCGCGUGCAGGAAGACGGCCCUAUGGGUUGUAAACUUCUUUUAUAAGAGAGUAAAGUGAGACACGUGUGCCUGUUUGUAAGUACUUUAUGAAUAAGGAUCGGCUAACUCCGUGCCAGCAGCCGCGGUAAUACGGAGGAUUCGAGCGUUAUCCGGAUUUAUUGGGUUUAAAGGGUGCGUAGGUGGGCGGUUAAGUUAGUUGUGAAAGGUUGCGGCUCAACUUUGAAAUUGCCAUUGAUACUGGCAGCCUAGAGUACAGUUGAGGUAGGCGGAAUGCGUGGUGUAGCGGUGAAAUGCUUAGAUAUCACAAAGAACUCCGAUUGCGAAGGCAGCCUACUAAGCUACCACUGACAUUGAGGCUCGAAAGCGUGGGGAGCAAACAGGAUUAGAUACCCGAGUAGUC